rnacentral:rRNA from 1 species
CCUACGGGGGGCAGCAGUUUCGAAUCAUUCACAAUGGGCGAAAGCCUGAUGGUGCGACGCCGCGUGAGGGAUGAAGGCCUUCGGGUUGUAAACCUCUGUCACUGGGGAAGAAACGCUUCAAGUUAAUAGCUUGAAGCCUGACUUAACCCAGAGAGGAAGCAGUGGCUAACUCUGUGCCAGCAGCCGCGGUAAUACAGAGACUGCAAGCGUUAGCGUAAAGCACUGGGCGUAGGGGGUGCGUAGGCGGUGUGAAAGCCCGGGGCUUAACCUCGGAAUUGCGCCUAAAACUACACGGCUAGAGCAUUGGAGAGGGUAGCGGAAUUCACGGUGUAGCAGUGAAAUGCGUAGAUAUCGUGAGGAACACCAGAGGCGAAGGCGGCUACCUGGACAAUUGCUGACGCUCAGGCACGAAAGCGUGGGGAGCAAAAGGGAUUAGAUACCCUUGUAGUC